GUAAAGGGCGUAACUGCCCGCUUUGGGAUGAACCUGCGUCCUAUCAGCUAGUUGGUAAGGUAACGGCUUACCAAGGCUAUGACGGGUAGGGGGUGUGAGAGCACGACCCCCCACAAGGGUACUGAGAUACGGACCCUACACCUACGGGUGGCAGCAACCAGGAAUAUUGCGCAAUGGGCGAAAGCCUGACGCAGCGACGCCGCGUGGAGGAUGAAGGUUCUCGGAUCGUAAACUCCUUUUUACAGGGAUAAAUAAAAUGAUAGUACCUGUAGAAUAAGCACCUGCAAACUACGUGCCAGCAGCCGCGGUAAUACGUAGGGUGCGAGCGUUAUCCGGAUUUACU
rnacentral:rRNA from 1 species